CACAAAAUGGACGUACGAACACUCCGGUUAAGUUUGAAGAACAAGAAAAACAGUAGAGGUCUACCUAUAUGGUUCAAGAUGAUGAUCAUAAGUGCAUGCAUCAUUUUGCAGAUUCUCAUCCAGGAUGAUGCAGUUUUACAAUUUUCAUGGAGGUGAUUGAUGAUGAUAAAUAAUUGGUGAAGUAGGCCUAAUAGAACAGCGACUAGACCACAAAGAGAAAUACAACCUACAGCAGUUAUAUGAGCCAGGUGUAACAGAUGUUUUCAUUCAAGAAAUCCAACAAUUCAACAUUGAAGAGUCUGACUUAGGAACCACUUGAUGAAGAUGGAAAAUGUUUUUUUUUCCAAGUCCAAUUUUUCACAAAAAAAUAAUUAUUAUCACAACCCCAAAUUCAUGAAGUAUGAAAUUUCUUGUUGAUUUUCAUUAAAACUGGUUGCAAAAGGAGAAGCUAUAAACAUACAAAUAGGAGCGGCGGAGUGAAGUUGAAAGUGGG